GAGAGAGGGCUGGGGUAGAGGAGAGCCCCAGGGAGCAGGCAGAGGAUAUUCUUUCUGGGAGCCCUGAGCCCAUCUAACCUCCAGUUCGUCCAUCAACUGAUUACUGCUCAGUCACCUCAGAUGAUACCACUGGGAGCCAGAGAACUGCCUAGCUGUGCCCUGCCUGAAUGUCUGACUCAUCACUCAUGGUGGAUGACCUUUUUCCUGAAGAAACUGCUGCAGAAUGAAAGCUCCAGGCGCUUGGGUGCAGCAAGUAGGCUAUGCAUUUCCCACCAGCAGGAAUCUAGCUCCUGGCCAAGGAAAUCAUACGUGAUGUGUAGGGAAGUGUGUGGGGCAGUGGAAGGAAUGUGGACCGUUGCCUCCCUUCGCUUGUCUGGAUGACCUUGGAUGAGGCCUCAAUCCUGGUAGUCACCUGGACUCCUCCUGAAUUUCCCGCAUGUCCUGCAGCAGUGACCCCAUCUGACAUGUUGUGUGGCUGGCUGUCCCCCAGUGAAAUCAUAGCCCUGGAGGGCAGGGUGUGUUUCUUCGUUUUCCUGCCUGGUGUGUGGAGACCCUGUGUGACCGUGGCGCAGAUCAGGAGCUCGGUCCGGUCCUGGAUACCCUUGGCAUUGACAUGUGGCUGCAGACAGUGGAAGAGAGAGAGAGUAGAAGACCUGCCUGAGCUCACUCAGCAUGCGUCAACUUCAUUCCCAGUCCACGACUGGAGCGUAGUCACAUGGCUGGAGCGUAGCCCUGGAGCAGUCACAGGGCUGCAAAGGCUGCCGGGAAGUGUGUUCCAUACUGUGUGCCCAGAGCAAGGGAAGGGGUUUGGUGGGAGUUUGCCAGUUCCACCACAGCGCUGCUGUGACAAUUGAAAUCAAAUGCAUGAAGGGACUGGUUUUCACACAGGUCAGGUGUCAUGACUGCUACAAGCUGGGUUUUCCUCCAGCUUGUACUCCUGUCCAGACAGAGCGUCUAUUUUUUUUUCUAUCUACUGAAUCAGAGAACCUACCUUUCUCAGGUCAGAGUCCAAAUUCCCAACUUGUAUCAAAUGAGAUUUUCUUCCCAGUAAUAAAUAGUGGGAUGUCUACAGACAUUUGCAAGGUGUUCGUCGCACCUCGUGAUUUCUCCCUUGGCAGGGACCUGUGGCCACUGUGUCUGGCUCAGGACACUGACAAAACACCAGGCUCAGGAUUUUUUCCCCCACAAUACAACUAGAUCCUGACCAAGGGUUUUUGAUGAAAAUCAGAUUUUGAAGACUGCUGUGGUUUAUAAGAGCUUCCUCAAGAAGAAGACUUUGUAGACCUCACCAUUUACAGAUAUGAGAGAGAAGUUUCCUUCUGAGUGAUCUCAUUCUGCUCUGAUGUCCCUGGGAACACACAUUGGAGCCAAUAUCUCCCAUCUUUUCAAAUUAAAUUAGCUCCCUGUAGGGAGCCAGAUAAAAGAAUGAUGGAAAGAAAUGGAAC
rnacentral:lncRNA from 1 species